rnacentral:tmRNA from 1 species
GGGGUCGUCUAGUUUCGACGGGUAUAUAUGAGUAUAGAUUGCAAGUCGAAGGUACUCGUUAAGUACAACCAAAAAAUAACUGGAAACAGAAUUAAAAAUGCAUUUGCUAGACUAUUUAAUACAAAUAGUGUAGCUUUCGCCUAGUUAGUAAUAGGUAUGCACUAUCUAUUAUCUUUUCCUAAGAGAUAUUAGAUGGUUCGAUUAUUUAGGAUAUAUUAUAGUAGAGUCUAGAUACUGUAACGAAUUUAAAUAGACUUGGAAUAAGUUAAUUUGUUAAUUUUUGUGGCUUAUUUAACUUUAUAAAUUAACUAAACUUGUAGACGUUUAUAUGUUUAUAUAUUCGGACAGGAGUGCAAUUCUCCUCGACUCCACCA